rnacentral:rRNA from 1 species
GACGAACGCUGGCGGCGUGCUUAACACAUGCAAGUCGUACGGUAAGGCCCUUUCGGGGGUACACGAGUGGCGCACGGGUGCGUAACACGUGAGUAACCUGCCCACAACUUUGGGAUAACGCUAGGAAACUGGUGCUAAUACUGGAUAUGUGCUCCUGCUGCAUGGUGGGGGUUGGAAAGCUCCGGCGGUUGUGGAUGGACUCGCGGCCUAUCAGCUUGUUGGUGGGGUAGUGGCCUACCAAGGCGGCGACGGGUAGCCGGCCUGAGAGGGUGACCGGCCACAUUGGGACUGAGAGACGGCCCAGACGCCUACGGGAGGCAGCAGUGGGGAAUAUUGCACAAUGGGCGCAAGCCUGAUGCAGCAACGCCGCGUGCGGGAUGACGGCCUUCGGGUUGUAAACCGCUUUCAGCAGGGACGAAGCUUUUUGUGACGGUACCUGCAGAAGAAGCACCGGCUAACUACGUG